rnacentral:rRNA from 1 species
GUCCACGCCCUAAACGAUGUCAACUGGUUGUUGGGUCUUAACUGACUCAGUAACGAAGCUAACGCGUGAAGUUGACCCCUGGGGAGUACGGCCGCAAGGUUGAAACUCAAAGGAAUUGACGGGACCCGCACAAGCGGUGGAUGAUGUUCUUUAAUUCGAUGCAACGCGAAAACCUUACCCACCUUUGACAUGUAUGGAAUCCUUUAGAGAUGAAGGAGUGCUCGAAAGAGAGCCAUAACACAGGUGCUGCAUGGCUGUCGU